rnacentral:rRNA from 1 species
AGUGAACGCUGGCGGUAGGCCUAACACAUGCAAGUCGAACGGCAGCACAGUAAGAGCUUGCUCUUACGGGUGGCGAGUGGCGGACGGGUGAGGAAUACAUCGGAAUCUACUUUUUCGCGGGGGAUAACGUAGGGAAACUUACGCUAAUACCGCAUACGACCUACGGGUGAAAGCAGGGGAUCUUCGGACCUUGCGCGAUUGAAUGAGCCGAUGUCGGAUUAGCUAGUUGGCGGGGUAAAGGCCCACCAAGGCGACGAUCCGUAGCUGGUCUGAGAGGAUGAUCAGCCACACUGGAACUGAGACACGGUCCAGACUCCUACGGGAGGCAGCAGUGGGGAAUAUUGGACAAUGGGCGCAAGCCUGAUCCAGCCAUACCGCGUGGGUGAAGAAGGCCUUCGGGUUGUAAAGCCCUUUUGUUGGGAAAGAAAGGCAGCAGGUUAAUACCCCGCUGUUCUGACGGUACCCAAAGAAUAAGCACCGGCUAACUUCGUG